UUCCUUCCUGUGUAUCACCCCAGCCCUGAGGAGAGCAGGGACCCCACCCUCUAUGCCAACAAUGUUCAGAGGGUCAUGGCACAGGCUCUGGGCAUUCCAGCCACCGAAUGUGAGUUUGUAGGGAGCUUACCUGUGAUUGUGGUGGGCCGGCUGAAGGUGGCGUUGGAACCACAGCUCUGGGAACUGGGAAAAGUGCUUCGGAAGGCUGGGAUACCAAGGGUUUGGUGGACUUCCGAGAUGUGGCCCUUGCACUAGCAGCUCUGGAUGGGGGCAGGAGCCUGGAAGAGCUAACUCGUCUGGCCUUUGAGCUCUUUGCUGAAGAGCAAGCAGAGGGUCCCAACCGCCUGCUGUACAAAGACGGCUUCAGCACCAUCCUGCACCUGCUGCUGGGUUCACCCCACCCUGCUGCCACAGCUUUGCAUGCUGAGCUGUGCCAGGCAGGAUCCAGCCAAGGCCUCUCCCUCUGUCAGUUCCAGAACUUCUCCCUCCAUGACCCACUCUAUGGGAAACUCUUCAGCACCUACCUGCGCCCCCCACACACCUCUCGAGGCACCUCCCAGACACCAAAUGCCUCAUCCCCAGGCAACCCCACUGCUCUGGCCAAUGGGACUGUGCAAGCACCCAAGCAGAAGGGAGACUGAGUGCCUCAGCCUCUCACCCCCUCCUCCUCAG
rnacentral:lncRNA from 1 species